rnacentral:lncRNA from 1 species
CUCAAUUUUGAUAGUUAGGAAGUAAUACAUGCUAUGCUGACAUUAUUCUUUUAAUUAAAUUUGAUAUGGAAAAAACAUUUUCUGUCAAAACAAUGGUAAAGAUGACAGUUGGGUAUAAGUGCCUCUAGUGGGUUGAAUGAUGUUUCUCUAAAAUUCACGUCUACUCAGAACCCGAGAAUGUGAGCUUAUUUGGAAGUGGGAUCUUUGCAGUGUAACUAAGGUAAGGAUUAGUGUGGGCCCUAAAUCCAAUGUAAGCACUUUUUUUCACAGAGAGAAAAGGACACAUAGAGACACAGAGAAGGAGACUAUGUGAAGAUGGAGGAAGAGACUAAAGUGAUCCAGCUACAAACCAAGGUACACCAAGGAUUAUUGGAGACCGCCAGAAGCUAGGGAGAGGCCAGGAAAUAUUCUUCUAGGAAGGAUUCUUCCCCAGAGACUUCAGAGGGACCAUAGCCCUGCCAAUAUCUUGAUUUCAAUUUCUAGCUUCCAGAACUGUGAGAGAAUAAAUUUAUGUUGUUUUAAGCCACCAAAUUGUGGCAAUUUGAUAUGGUGACCCUAGGAAAUUAAGACAGUGACAUAACACAAUUUUAGGCAUAUUUGGCAUAGUAGAGGUAUUGAUGUCCUAGUGUCUGUAUCUAAUCAUCCUUUAUGAACGAACUACAUAGUUCCAUCUACUGCUCCACUUGUUUAUCAAGUCCUAUCCUUAGCAGUCUCCACAAGAACAUGGUUCCAGCAAACAUCCGCAUACUUUCACUGAAUUUUCCUGUCUACAGGACCAAUCUCCUUAACUAUAACAUUUCCUAGGAAGAAAAAGAAAGCCCUAAAUCCCUCUCUGGAAUUCACAUUGCUUUCUAGCUAAUAUUUCUUCUCUCUGUUCCUUGGACAUAAAAUUUUGUCUAUUUCCCCUGUCUGCAAUUUGUUUCUUCACAUUUUCUCUUGAGCUACUUUUUGUCAAGAUAACCACCACAUUGUCAAAUCCUCUGAUAAACUCUCAGUAAUUAUCUUCUGCCCUCUCAGGACCAUUUAACAAAUUUGAAUGUCACUUUAAAUACAUUCCCUACUUUGUUUUAAGGAAACACAUUCUCCAUAUUCUUUCUGUUGGACUAUCUUCUUCUCAGUAUCUUGAGCUCUCGUUUUCCUGACCUCUAAAUGGUGGAGUGCCUCGUGUCUCAGUUCUUAGACCUCUUUUCUUCAUUAUCUAUCCUCCUUUUUCGUGGUGGUUCCAUUCAGUCUCAAGGCUUUCAAUUAUCUUCCAUGUGCUAACAUCUCUGAAGUUUAAAUAUCUAGCUUAAGCUAGAACUGACUAUAAAUGAAUAACCAAAUAAAUGACUAACAAAUGAGUUCUUGGUGUACAGCUCAUUUAAUACUUUAAAAUUAAUAUUGAGACUACAAAUUCAGAUUCCUAACUAAUAAGUACAUAAAUGCAUGCCUGGCCAUAGUUUGUUAAAUUUUUGGGCUUAUUCGUGGAGAUUGAUACAAAGAGAAGAAAUGGAAGAUAGUUCUGGGAUUCCACAGGUCAUAUAGAAUUUAUUUAAUUGUGGCAGACUGCUGAAUUCUUUCCUUUCUGCUCAGUGAGGAAAUCUUUUUUUUUUUUUUUUCAGGUUUAUAACGCAAACUGUUAUAGGAACACCUUUCCCAAUCUUCUGGAAUGUAGGCAUGACAGGUGACUAAGAGGGCCAAAGAAAUACAACUAAACUUUGUAUAUAAGGGAAAGAAUAAAUCCUUUCUCUUUUCUUUCUCAUUUCUGCUGCCUUGAAUAUAGAUACAAUGCCUCAAGGAUCAACAUCUCUCUUAGCUCAGGAGCUGGCCUUGAGGGUGAGGUCAUGAAUGACUCACCAAAAAGAAAGAAAGAAAUUGUGUUUGUGAUAAAUUUAUGGAGUCACCAUAACUACUUGAACUACUUUCUUGCCUGGUGAUCACCUCAAAUUUACUGCCACUAACAACAUUCCACUGAAGAACUAAAAUGCAUGGAGGACUCCUGAAAUGUCUGCAUUCCAACUCGAGGGAGGUGGAAGAGCGGUGAGUCAAAGUCAAAGUAGAGCGAGGAGAAAGGAACGGGGGAAAGCAGAGCACAGAACCUGGGAAACAGUUGAUGAGCUAUGAGAGUGUUGGUGGUCCCCUUGUGUCUUACAUUCUUUUCAGCUUAAUUAAUGAUUCACUCUGCCUUUUAAUCUGCCUUCCAUAGAUUAUUAACCCAGUAGCAUCGUUUAUUUAACGCAAAUCACAGGAAGUUGGAUAUUAAAUAGUAUUGGUCAGUAUCUCCCAUAUUUGAGCGCCUAAUAACAUCUUGCUGAGUCACAUUUAGACCUCAUGCUGUGUUUAACAUAGUUCCUUGGUUGGUAUACAAUAUAGAUUCUGAACUUUGUUACUCUAGAAUUUCUUCAGAGGUUUUGAAAUUGUUUUAGAAAAAGAUCAUUUUUUUAAGUUCCAUAGACAAAGUAUAAAAAUUAAGUAUGCUUCAUAGUCCUUGAGCCAGGGUUUCCACAUAGGGCUGUAUGAUCAUUUUGAUAUAGAACAAAUAAAGUUCAUAUUAACUACCUCGAAUACCCAGGUAAAACGGUCCAGCAUUUAUUUAAGAAAACAAAGUAUAAUUGAAAUUGGUUGCUGUUGCUCUACUGUUGAAUUAUGAUAUUUACCCCUUUUUCCAACUUCUUCUUUCCCCACAAUUUCCCUCUUAUUAUCCAGGAGAACAAGAAUUUAGGUCUCUGUGUUUUCUCCGUGUUUCUCUCUUACUCUCUUUGGAAGCUACAAUAAGCUAUGUUGAAUUUAUUUGUUUUACUUUUUUAAUUUUAUUUUUAUGAGACACUACAAUCUCAUAUUCAGAGGUUCUACAUUAGAUUUAGUUUGUCCUUCAAAACUGGAUUAGAAAGAGAUGCCAACACAUAUGGUAACUCCUGGAACAAUUUACGGUUUGAACAACCCACAGGAAACCAUGAAAGCCAGAUUUUCUGUCAGUAUUGUGAAGCCAAAAUCUGUGUUUGGAAGUGAACUUGAGCAUGUACCUAAAAUCUGUGCAAAAACCCAUUUAAUGAUCUUAUAUAGUUUUAGAGGUGAUAUAUCCUGAGUGACAUUCCAAUAAAAGCUACCAAAGUCUUGACUAUAUUUUAAUGAGUGAAAGUAAUUGCGAGUUCUACUUUGUGUAUUUUAAAUGAAUACCAUUUUUACAAUUUUUAAAUUCACUCCAAAUCAAAGUUAAGAUCGAUUUCUUGUCUCUUAUAGCCUUAUCUAUGUGUUCCAUUUAUGUUUCGUUUUUCUUCAAAAGACAAGAACACUUGAAAUUUCCCUCUCCUUGAUACAGUUUCCAGUUUUGCGUGUGCACUCUGUGUAUUCAUGUAAAUAAUUUUACAGCCUUUCUUGUUAUUAAAUAUUAGUUGUGGAAUAAACCAG